GGCGCCGUAGCCAAGUGGUUAGGCAGUGGAUUGCAAAUCCACCAUACGUCGGUUCGACUCCGAUCGGCGCCU
rnacentral:tRNA from 1 species